AGACGCAGAGAACUGAAACAUCUUAGUACCUGCAGGAAGAGAAAGAAAAUUCGAUUCCCUGAGUAGCGGCGAGCGAAACGGGAAGAGCCCAAACCAACAAGCUUGCUUGUUGGGGUUGUAGGACUCCAAUAUGGUAGUCUGUUAGUAUAGUUGAAGGAUUUGGAAAAUUCCGCUAAAGAGGGUGAAAGCCCCGUAGACGAAAUGCUGACAACACCUAGGAGGAUCCUGAGUACGGCGGAACACGAGAAAUUCCGUCGGAAUCCGCGGGGACCAUCCCGCAAGGCUAAAUACUCCCUAGUGACCGAUAGUGAACCAGUACCGUGAGGGAAAGGUG
rnacentral:rRNA from 1 species